AUUGAACGCUGGCGGCAGGCCUAACACAUGCAAGUCGAACGGUAACAGGGAUCAGCUUGCUGAUUCGCUGACGAGUGGCGGACGGGUGAGUAAUGUCUGGGAAACUGCCUGAUGUAGGGGGAUAACUACUGGAAACGGUAGCUAAUACCGCAUAACGUCGCAAGACCAAAGAGGGGGACCUUCGGGCCUCUUGCCAUCGGAUGUGCCCAGAUGGGAUUAGCUAGUAGGUGGGGUAACGGCUCACCUAGGCGACGAUCCCUAGCUGGUCUGAGAGGAUGACCAGCCACACUGGAACGGAGACACGGUCCAGACUCCUACGGGAGGCAGCAGUGGGGAAUAUUGCACAAUGGGCGCAAGCCUGAUGCAGCCAUGCCGCGUGUAUGAAGAAGGCCUUCGGGUUGUAAAGUACUUUCAGCGGGGAGGAAGGGAGUAAAGUUAAUACCUUGGCUGAUUGACGUUACCCGCAGAAGAAGCACCGGCUAACUCCGUG
rnacentral:rRNA from 1 species